GUUAACUUUCAUGCCUUGAUCACAAAGUUGGCUUAUACUGAUUAGAUUAGCUUUAAGCCCUUUUACAAGCAGCACAUUAUCUAGCUUUGGUAAGCCAUGGUUUGCAAGUUUACCAACUCCCUUGAUCUCUCCUUUGGCUCCAUCUCCAAAGGUUACAAAACUGGUAGCAUAUGACUUCAAGUCUUCAAGAUAGUGUUCAACACCUGUCAUGUGUCUAGAACAGCCACUAUCAAAGUACCAUGUUUCUCUUGAAGAAGCUCUUAAGGAUGUAUGAGCUAUUAGACCUGUGAUCUUCUUCUUUUCUCUCCAUUCCUGUCUUGUUGUGACAUUAGGAAAGGCAGGAGUAUAGAAUUCUUGAUGAACUCUCCUUGGAUAUCCGUGCAGUCUAUAGCAGAAAGGCCUAAUAUGUCCUUUCCUUCCACAAUGAU
rnacentral:lncRNA from 1 species